UAUGAUGGCAAUGUGGACAGGGUUUGUCUUU
rnacentral:piRNA from 1 species